rnacentral:rRNA from 1 species
GUUCUGUAACGAGGAAGGACGUAGACGAAUGCGAUAAGGGAGCCUCAUCUCAGCUUAGCUCCAUUUCCGAAUGAAAGAAUACUCCUAGAACUUAAGCAUAUCAUUAUAGGAAGGAAUAGAAAUUAACGAAGAUUCUCACAGUAGUGGCGAAUGAACAGAGAUAAGUCCACGAUGGUAAACUGUAUUCCAAUACGGUGUUGUGUAUAAAGAUUAGAAUAAUAAGCUGAAAAGCUUGACCAUAGCGGGUUAUAGUCCCCCAUCUAUUGAAAUUUUGAGUGAUUAGCCUUGCUUGGUAAUGCAAGGUGAAUUGGGUGGUAGAUCGCAUCCAAGACUAAAUAUAACAGAACACCGAUAGCGAAGAAGUACUGCGAAGGAAAGAAGAAAGGUCUUUUCAGACCAAUAAAGUAGUGAAAUUACCAACACGGAAGGCAAUUUAUUGCACCCGUCUUGAAACACGGACC